rnacentral:rRNA from 1 species
AGCAACGCCGCGUGCGGGAUGACGGCCCUCGGGUUGUAAACCGCUUUCAGCAGGGACGAUAUUGACGGUACCUGCAGAAGAAGCCCCGGCCAACUACGUGCCAGCAGCCGCGGUAANNACGUAGGGGGCAAGCGUUGUCCGGAUUUAUUGGGCGUAAAGAGCUCGUAGGCGGCUCGGUAAGUCGGGUGUNGAAAUCCCCAGGCUCAACCUGGGAUAUCCNCCCCUNUUCCGCGCUGUGGCUGAAUUCCGGUAGGGNGACCUUGGAUUCCCGGGUUUACCGGUNNAAUUCNCCCNANAUUUCNGGAGGACCACCGCUGCCAANGGCGGUCCUCGUGGCCCGGACCUGCCGCUGAGGACCAAAGCCUUGGUUNCCAACCGGGNUNGANUCCCCUGUUAUUCCNCCCGUANCCUUNGGCCNCUAGUUAAGGGGU